CCACCUGUUACCAUCACAUCUUACUCUAGAGGCCUGGUGUGUUUAUGACAUUCCCAACUUAACACAGGAAGAUCGACCAAGGUUAAUGAGAGCAGCUCCCCACAGCUCAAAUCUGGAUAUCGCACAUAGCUGACUGCUGAACAGCAGAAACCAGUGUCCUGCCAAGUCCUCCGCGGUGCUCUGGACCCAGAGCCAGAAAUCUGCUCACCUCCAGCGUCUUAAGACACUGAAAUGAGAACCCGCACAGCUUGGAAAACCAGCACAUAAAACCAGGCUCUGUGUUGCCUACCCUCUCCACUUAUUUAACCAUGUCAGCUCUCAGGCAACUGGAAAACAUGAAAAAGGCCUCAGGAUGCCUCCUGGAAUAUGGUCUACAUUAACUCACAGCUGGUAGCAGUUACAGCAAAAUUAGAAAACAUCGGAGCAAAAUUGUCCUUUCUUUCAAGUUAAAACUCUUCGAAUUCAAGGUUGUGAGCAGUUGGGGUGGCGGGGGUGGGUGGCGGGGAUGGAGAGAAAGCGGGGGAAACUGUGACCUCAACCUUCCAAUCAUGCUGUGCUCCUGGCUGGGUGAUUCCCACUCAAAAAUAGACAUAUAUUCUAAACUCUGACCACUUCUCAGUCUCUCCCCAAGAGGAGAUUCAAUAGAGAAGAUGCUUUGGGACCCCUAAAAUUAACAGAAUUCUAAUGAAUAACCCAGAUCAAUUUCACCGAGGGUGAAAAUGUUUCAUAUCCCUUCAUCCUUCUAAUUUAUUUAUUUUUAAUUAAUUUUUUAAUUGAGAGAAUUUCAGAUUCAUAAGCAGUUGUGCAGAAUAAUACAGAGGGAUCUGGUGUAGAUGUUACCCAGUUUCCCACGAUGGCAGGGUUUUGCAACACCAUCCCAUGAUAUCAUAACCAGAUUAUGGACCUUGAUGCAGUCCACCAGUCUUAUUCACAUUUCCCCAGUGUGACUUGUAGUUAUGCUUGUGUACAUUUCGUUCAGCUCGUUCUUACAUAAUUUUAUUACAUGCCGUAGAUUUAUGUAUGCACCAUGUCAGUCAAGAUACUAGAGUGCCAUCACCACAAGGAUCCCACAUGUUAACCUUUAAUAACUACACCAUGCCCAUCUCCCUUCUGCUCCCAUCUCCCCCAUCACUAAACCCUGGCAAUCACUAAUUGAUUUUCCAUGUCUAUAACUUUGCUAUUUCAAGAACACUAUAUAAAUAUAAUCAUACUGUAUGUAAUUUUUAGGUUUUGACUUUUUUCCACUCAACUCCUUUGAGAUUAAUCCACACUAUUGCCUGAAAUAGUGGUUGAUUUCUCUUUAUUUCUCAGCAGUAUUUCAUGGUAUGAAUGUAUCAGAGUUUAUUUAACCAUUUACCUAUUGAAGGACUUCUGAAUUGUUUCCAGUUUGGGGAUAUUGUGAAUAAAACUGCUGUGAAUAUUCAUGUCCAGGUUUUUGUGUUAAUGUACAUUUUCAUUCCUAAUUAUUUUUGCACUGAAGGUUGAGGUUGUGCUUAGUGGGGAGGAAUUAAGGCUGA
rnacentral:lncRNA from 10 species